UUUUAUGGUGGCCGUGCGCUCGGCGUCUUCGGACGCACCGGUUCGCCUGGCUGCCGGUCUACCAACUUGCGUACGGCCACCACCCUA
rnacentral:antisense_RNA from 1 species